rnacentral:lncRNA from 1 species
GGCCCGCAGGUCCCCGAGGACGCCUCCCCGCCGCCAUCGGCCGUCCUCGCCACCGCCUCGCUCCUCACGGCCGCCGGGGCGCCGCCGCCAUCUUCCGCCUCCGCGCCCCAGCUGACGCCAGCGAGUAACCGCGCCGGCAUGAGCGGCCUCCCUGCGGCCGCGGGGAACGCUGGGAUGCGGUCGGGCGGCCCAUGGCGGCCCCGCCCUGUGGCCUGGCUCCCGGGUAGGGAACGGCGAGGGGCGGGGCUGCGUCUGGUCCGGGUGUUUUGCCUAUCGCCCCCACAAGCCUCCGCGGCUGCAAGGCGGGCGGUAAAAUUAGUCAAUCUCUGAGGAAUUUAGAGGUGUUAAAGUAAACUGACAGGAAAUACGACUGCUGGAGAUGUUUUUUACUUGGCGCUCUGGAAAACUAUGCCGAAGAUAAGAUUACAUUAGAAUGUUCUAGCUGAAAAGUGAUUUAAUUUCCGGCCUUUAAAUAAUCUCGCGAGAAGAGAAGGGAAAAGUUUAUGUUGUGUGGGAACCUCCGUUCCCCGCGCAGGCAAGCAGAUAUUGAGUGUUCUUAGAGGCUACAGUUGUAUUCCUGUUCUCCAUCAAGAGGUCCUCCAGCCCCUGGCCCACGUCCCUCUGGCAUCACGGAGGAGAUCCUGCCCCAGAAUACCUGCAUCCGCCCCCAGUGAGCCUGCAUCAUUCCACACCUCCCCUACCCCCACCGCAGUCUCCCCGGGAUCAGUCCAGGACAAAGAGGUGAGUGCGGGGGGCGCGGGGGCGGGAAGAGGGUGGCUGGUCAAGGGCGGAGGACAGCUGCAGAGGCCCCAGACCUCCCUGCCACGUUCUGAGGCUAAGCCAAAAUUCCUAAGAUUUUGACAUGGGUUGAGUCAACAUGCCCUUACCUCAGCUGACUGGGGAUUGGAACCCAGGCCUAGGUGGGGGCCGCUGAGGUCAUAGGAUUAUACAGAACCACAUAAUUCUGUAAGUUUUAGGUCCUGGGGGAGUUUCUCAAAUAAUGAUAUUACAAGCUUUUGGAACCCCAGGGUUUCAAAAUCUGGGAUGUCUGAUCUGAAUUUCUUGAGUUCCAGGAGGCUGAGAAUCUAGACCAUGGGUCAAUAAGCUUUUUUCUUUCUUUUUUUCUUUUUUAAGCUUUUUUCUGUAAAAGGCCAAAAAGUUAAUAUUUUCAGCUUUGCAGCCCAGGGACUACUCAGCCACAAGCAGUCUGUACACAAACAGCUGGGCACCAAUAAAACUCUGUCCAAACAUGGAAAUUUGGAUAUUAUAUGAUUUCCAUGUGUCAUGGAAUAGUAUUCUUCUUUCGAUUCUUUAAAAACCUCUUAAAAAUGUAAACACCAUUCUUAGCUCGUGGGCUAUACCGGAAAAAAAAAAAAAUAGCAUCUGAAUUUGACCCACAGUCCAGAACAGCGUUAGGCAGUAGAAAAAUAAGACAAACCAUACACAGAAUUUUAAAUGUUGGCUCAUGUUAAAGAACUAAAAGAGAAUAGUUUUGGUCAUAUAUUUCACUUCACUUGAUAUCUGGGAAAUAUGAUCAUUGCAACAGGUAAUCGAUAUGAAAAAUGAUGUAUGAGGUAUUUCACACCUGUUUCUGUCCCGUGUCUGAAAUCUGGCCUGUUUCCCGACACUGACGUUUCCUCGGAGACACUCAUAUGUAGCCGGACUGCGUAAAACUGACGCUGAAAAGGAAAACGC